AGCAGAUGUUCAAUAAAUAUUUGUUGAAUCAGUGGAUUAAGUUGUAGGUAACACCGUCUUCAGCACACACGCAGAAGACGACUCCGUGUGAGCUAUGGAGUCAAAUUAACUGCUGCUGUUUGAGAUUGAAUCAUCUUGGAAUCGCCAGUCAGGGCUUGAUCUGCUAAUAAUUCUAAAUUAUCUUCAAGCGGAGAGGAUGCUUUCAUCGGGUCUGAAGCCAGGUCAGUCUACCUUCCAGAACAUGCCCGCCCCUCGGUAUAAUGGCUUGCUCUUAAUAUUUCAGAGACAAGUGCAAGUUACGUUCGGUGAGGCAUAUAGACGCUCCAACAGGUCUGGGACGGGAUGUUGGUCAAACUGGAAACUAGAACGAGAAUAAGCUCUUCUCCUUUUCCAUUACUUAAGCAUCUAUACCCAUUGGCCUCUUGACUGGUGGCAGACCAGUCAUGUGACACCGAAACAGAAAUACCUUCCCUGGUGCUAAAAUGUUCUCAAGAGAGCUGACACAGUCACCUUAAAAUAUGUUUACUCUAUAAAAAACAUACUUCGAAUGUUUUGCCCAAGAGGAAAUCUUCACACACACCCCAAAGUGCCGUGCUUGGCUAUUAAAGAGACGUCAAUUUUUCAGAAGAAAUAGCUCCCUCCUUAUUCUGAUUGGAUUAACAAGAACAAUAAAAUGCUAACAUGUAGGUAGGAGGAAGUGUUUGCUCUUCUCAGAAUUCUCCAAAUGGUGGGAAGACAUUAAACAAUUUACUAUCAUUUUGUUGUACAUCUUAAACUUACACAGUGUCAAUUGUGAUGUCAAUUAUAUCUCAAUAAAACUGAAAAAAAUUAGUCAAUUAAAACUGUAAAUACUGUUUUAAAGUAUUACAUUAAAAAGGACCUACAGAAUAAAGUAGGCUUUUUUGAUGGGUGGGGGUAAUAUUCUGUGGCUUUUUGGGUACUAUCCCCAACUGAGUGUAUUAUUUUUCUUUACAUUUCCCCCUCUUCUUUUCCUCUUUAAUUGAAGGAAAAAGACUCUAAAAUGUUUUUUCUAACCUCUAAUUUUUUUUCAUGACCUACCUACUAACUUCAUUUGAUAUUA